UACGUAGGUGGCAAGCGUUGUCCGGAAUUAUUGGGCGUAAAGAGCUCGUAGGCGGUCUGUUGCGUCCGCUGUGAAAACUCGGGGCUUAACCCCGAGCCUGCAGUGGAUACGGGCAGACUAGAGGUAGGUAGGGGAGAAUGGAAUUCCCGGUGUAGCGGUGAAAUGCGUAGAUAUCGUAAGGAAGACCAGUGGCGAAGGCGGGUCUCUGGACAGUUCCUGACGCUGAGGCACGAAGGUCAGGGGAGCAAACGGG
rnacentral:rRNA from 1 species